GCCAGGGUGGCUCAGUUGGUUAAGCGUCUGACUUCAAUUCAGGUCAUGAUCUUCCGGUUCCUGAGAUGGACCCUGGCA
rnacentral:tRNA from 1 species